AACGCGAAGAACCUUACCGGGGCUUGACAUCCUGCGCCAUCCUAGGAGACUAGGCUUUCUAGCAAUAGAACGCAGAGACAGGUGCUGCAUGGCUGUCGUCAGCUCGUGCCGUGAGGUGUUGGGUUAAGUCCCGCAACGAGCGCAACCCUUGUCGUGUGUUGGUCAGCAAUGAUCUCUCACACGAGACCGCCGGUGACAAGCCGGAGGAAGGUGGGGAUGACGUCAAGUCAGCAUGGCCCUUACGUCCCGGGCUACACACGUGCUACAAUGGGAAGGACAGCGAGUCGCGAACCCGCGAGGGCAAGCUAAUCUCUUAAACCUUUCCUCAGUUCGGAUUGGAGGCUGCAACUCGCCUCCAUGAAGUCGGAAUCGCUAGUAACCGCAGAUCAGCUACGCUGCGGUGAAUACGUUCCCGGGCCUUGUA
rnacentral:rRNA from 1 species